AACGAACGCUGGCGGCAGGCUUAACACAUGCAAGUCGAGCGCAUCCUUCGGGGUGAGCGGCAGACGGGUGAGUAACGCGUGGGAACGUGCCCUUUGCUACGGAAUAGCUCCGGGAAACUGGAAUUAAUACCGUAUGAGCCCUUUGGGGGAAAGAUUUAUCGGCAAAGGAUCGGCCCGCGUUGGAUUAGCUAGUUGGUGGGGUAAAGGCCUACCAAGGCGACGAUCCAUAGCUGGUCUGAGAGGAUGAUCAGCCACAUUGGGACUGAGACACGGCCCAAACUCCUACGGGAGGCAGCAGUGGGGAAUAUUGGACAAUGGGCGCAAGCCUGAUCCAGCCAUGCCGCGUGAGUGAUGAAGGCCUUAGGGUUGUAAAGCUCUUUCACCGAUGAAGAUAAUGACGGUAGUCGGAGAAGAAGCCCCGGCUAACUUCGUGCCAGCAGCCGCCGUAAUAC
rnacentral:rRNA from 1 species